rnacentral:tRNA from 1 species
GGCGUGGUACCCAAGUGGCUAAGGGAGCGGUCUGCAAAACCGCUAUUCACCGGUUCGAAUCCGGUCCACGCCUCCA